UACAGAGGGUGCAAGCGUUAAUCGGAAUUACUGGGCGUAAAGCGUGCGUAGUCGGUUAUUUAAGUCGGGUGUGAAAGCCCCGGGCUCAACCUGGGAAUUGCAUUCGAUACUGGAUAGCUAGAGUUCGGCAGAGGGAAGCGGAAUUUCCGGUGUAGCGGUGAAAUGCGUAGAUAUCGGAAGGAACAUCAGUGGCGAAAGCGGCUUCCUGGACCAGAACUGACGAUCAGGCACGAAGGGAUGGGGAUCAAAUGGG
rnacentral:rRNA from 1 species